rnacentral:tRNA from 1 species
GGGGCGGUAGCUUAGUUGGUAGAGCGCUGGCUUUGCAAGCCGGAGGUCCGGGGUUCGAAUCCCCGCCGCUCCA